GGGGGGGGGGGGGGGCGGGGGGGGGGGGGGGGGGGCGGGGGGGGGGGCCGGGGGGGCGGGGUGCGGGGGUGGCGGGCGGGUGCGUAGCGCGGGGGGGCUCGGCGUCUACCGUCGGGAUACGCGUGGGCCCCUGGGUCUCGUCCCGGGUCGGAGCGUCGUUUCGUUUCGGUUGUGGACAGUGUUUUCGGUUAGUGCUGCGCCCGCGUCCUCUCGCCUGUUUUGUGGGGUAAUGGCCUACCAAGGCGUCGACGGGUAGCCGGCCGGAGAGGGUGGACGGCCACAUGGGGACUGAGAUACGGCCCAGACUCCUACGGGAGGCAGCAGUGGGGAAUAUUGCACAAUGGGCGCAAGCCUGAUGCAGCGACGCCGCGUGGGGGAUGACGGCCUUCGGGUUGUAAACCUCUUUCGACAGGGACGAAGCUUUGGUGACGGUACCUGUAUAAGAAGCACCGGCUAACUACGUG
rnacentral:rRNA from 1 species